CUUUACUGUAGUUUCGUACUGGCACUAGGACACAUUUGCGUAGGAUAGGUGGGACGCGUUGAAGAGCAGGUCUCGGCUUGCUUGGAGCGGUUAGUGAAAUACCACCCUGAUGUGUUUUAUUGUCUAACCCACGUUCUUGAAACAGGGCGGGGGACAGUGCGUGAUGGGCAGUUUGACUGGGGUGGUCGCCUCCCAAAUCGUACCGGAGGCGCGCGAAGGUUUGCUCAGGCUGGUCGGAAAUCAGCUGGUGAGUGCAAUGGCAAAAGCAAGCCUGACUGCAAGAGGGACACCUCGAGCAGAGACGAAAGUCGGUCAUAGUGACCCGGUGGUUCCGCAUGGAAGGACCAUCGCACACGGAUAAAAGCUA
rnacentral:rRNA from 1 species